rnacentral:rRNA from 1 species
GUGGGGAAUUUUCCGCAAUGGGCGAAAGCCUGACGGAGCAAUCUCGCGUGAGGGAUGACGGCCUAUGGGUUGUAAACCUCUUUUUUCAGGGAGGAAUAAAAUGACGUGUACCUGAAGAAUAAGCAUCGGCUAACUCCGUGCCAGCAGCCGCGGUAAGACGGAGGAUGCAAGUGUUAUCCGGAAUCACUGGGCGUAAAGCGUCUGUAGGUGGUUUAAUAAGUCAACUGUUAAAUCUUGAGGCUCAACCUCAAAAUCGCAGUCGAAACUAUUAGGCUAGAGUAUAGUAGGGGUAAAGGGAAUUUCCAGUGGAGCGGUGAAAUGCGUAGAGAUUGGAAAGAACACCGAUGGCGAAGGCACUUUACUGGGCUAUUACUAACACUCAGAGACGAAAGCUAGGGUAGCAAAUGGGAUUAGAUACCCCUGUAGUCC